rnacentral:rRNA from 1 species
UAAAAACCCCGACUUCGGAAGGGGUGUAUUUAUUAGAUACAAAACCAAUGCCCUUCGGGGCUCUUUGGUGAUUCAUGAUAACUAUACGAAUCGCACGGCCUUGCGCCGGCGAUGGUUCAUUCAAAUUUCUUCCCUAUCAACUUUCGAUGUUUGGGUAUUGGCCAAACAUGGUUGCAACGGGUAACGGAGGGUUAGGGCUCGACCCCGGAGAAGGAGCCUGAGAAACGGCUACUACAUCCAAGGAAGGCAGCAGGCGCGCAAAUUACCCAAUCCCGACUCGGGGAGGUAGUGACAAUAAAUACUGAUACAGGGCCCUUUCGGGCCUUGUAAUUGGAAUGAGUACAAUUUAAAUCCCUUAACGAGGAACAAUUGGAGGGCAAGUCUGGUGCCAGCAGCCGCGGUAAUUCCAGCUCCAAUAGCGUAUAUUAAAGUUGUUGUGGUUAAAAAGCUCGUAGUUGAACCUUGGGCCUGGCUGGCCGGUCCGCCUCACCACGUGCACUGGUCCGGCCGGGCCUUUCCCUCUGUGGAACCAAUAACCUUCAUGGGCGUGGCGGGGAAACAGGACAUUUAUUUUGA